GCCCGGUUUUUCGAAAGGUGGUUAACUCUAACACCGUGUUAACUCUGUGUUAAACUCGGUGUUUAAGUUAACGAAAUGGUUAAGUGUUUUUCGAAAGUGUGUUAGGGUUUAACCAUGUGUUAACUCCGUGUUAACUUUAAUCCACCCCCAGUACCUUGGUUAAGAUUUAACACAGUGAUUAAAUAUGGCCGCCAGUGUAAUGAUUUUGCCACUUCAACUCAAAAAAUUGGUAUAAGAAGCAUUUUCCAGAAAUUUUAAAGUUUGAAAAAUCUUACAUAUGAUAUAAGAUACGGAAAAGCAACCGGCUUGACAUGAAAAGUUGCAGCAAUCUGUAUGAUAUAUUUAUGGAAGAAGGAUUUUACACAUGGUUCAUACCCCCUAUGUUGAAGGAUCCCUUCUUUUGAGGAGGCUGCAUUGUUGACAGCAGUAAAAGAUUUGGAAGAAGGAGAACAUGGUAUGUUCUGCUGGGUGACACUUGCUGUGCUUGGUACCUAAUUCUCCCAAAGCCAUAUCUCAUGAGGCCCACAAACUGCAGCCAAGGAAAAAUUUAAUCAAACAUGCAUACCAAGAUCAGAAGUGAAAUUGAGAGGUUCUUUUAUUUGCAUAAGAUUUGCAUGAUACAGGAAUUAACUGCCUGCCUGCAUUGUUUAUUUGAAGAGAACUUGGAGAGACCGAGAAAGAUGAGUAUUUGACAACAACCAACCUCUAAGCCUCAAACACCAUGCACCAAGAGAAGGAGAACAAUUAUUGUGACAUUUAAUCUAAUGUCUACAUCCUAAUUUAUAAUACACAAUAGCCAAAAAAAAAAUGAA